rnacentral:tRNA from 1 species
GGGUCUGUAGCUCAGGUGGUUAGAGCGCACCCCUGAUAAGGGUGAGGUGGGUGGUUCGAGUCCACUCAGACCCACCA